CUGUUAUGUCAAUUUGUAUAAAAAGUUUGGUAAAUAAAUAAAAAUAAACGAUUUGUAAAUUAAAAAAAAAAGAACAUGAACAACAACAAUAUGAUGUUUUACAUUAGUGUUCACUUUUCGCACCGAUGCUAGUUCAGCAGCCACAAUAGUACAUUACGAAUAUUACGAUACAAGUGUGAAUUACGUUUUCGCACGAGUAUUGUACAACGUUUUACAGUACAUAUGGCCCUUUGGAUUUUUUACAAAUGAAAAUAUAGUGCUAGUUACCGCACAACGGCGGUAAAUUAGCGCCAUAUGUACUGUAAAAAAUAUUAAAUUAUAGCCCCCCCUAUUCAUAAAACUUAACAACCUUUUACAUACUCGUAUCUCGUAUCUCUGUUAAAUUGUCUCUUUCUAAGAAAUAGAAAUGUCUGAAUGUCAGAUAAGGAUAAAAAAUAUCAAGAUUUGACAGAUGUUUAUGAAUACGCCAUAAAUUAUUAAGUAAUGAAUCAUUAGAUGACACCGUAGUGAAUCAGAUGAAAGUAUGUACUUCCCCUAAUUAAGGUUUAUAAGAAUAUGAAAGACAAGAUGACAUACCGCUGCGCCCUACCUUGUCGAAACACACGCACACAUACAUUCGCACCCACACAUUUAAACUAAUAAACAUAGACUACCCCAUCCAUAGAUAACGUUUUUGGGGCGUUUAAAUUAAACUGACAACGAAGUCACAUGGGCAGAAGAAGCUUGGCAUAAACAUUAAUUUAUAUAUAAAUUAUUUCUUUUUAUUUAUUAAAGUAACAUAUAUCUAUGCACGCAGAGAAGAUGGCCGAUGGGGUCGAAAAGUACUCGAGUGGAGACCACGGACUAGCAAGCGCAGCGUAGGACGACCACCCACAAGAUGGACAGACGACCUUAUUAAGGUCGCCGGAAGACGCUGGAUGUGGGUCGCUUCCAACCGGUACAUGUGGAGGCCCAAGGGGGAGGCCUAUGUUCAGCAGUGGACGUCUUAUGGCUGAGAUGAUGAUAAUACUUCUAUGAUUGGUAUAAGUUUUCGUUGCUAGAUAUGGUAUUACGAAGAAAAUAGAGCCAGCAAAGUUUUACUUAUUUGUAUCAUCGAAAACAAAUACCAGAUAUAGAUAGGUAUAUGUUUAAUAGUUUAAUCACUCAACGAAGGGAGGGAGGGGUGUUAGGGUCGGCAACGCGCAUGUAUCUCCUCUGGAGUUGCAGGCGCACAUAGGCUACGGAGACUGCUUACCAUCAGGCGGGCCGUAUGCUUGUUUGCCAGCGACGUAGUAUAAAAAAAAAGUUCAUGCCAAAUAAUUAAAAUUCAACAUGUCACUUUGCAAUGAAAGCAUCACUUCGAUUGUAUAUGGUGGCGGGAAAAAAUACGGGACGCGAUACUUAAAUACGGUGACUGUCCGGUAUAUACGGGACGUAUGGCAACCCUAUGUAUUGACCACGACUCGUCCAUACGCCCCGUCUAGUAUGUUACUGAUCUGUGAAUUUCACACAUAUAUAAAUCGUCUACAUAUAUUUUGUAUGAGUCAUCAGUUCCGAUUUAUCUCGCGCACUGGACAAUCGUUUGUUUAUGUGCUAAAGUACAUAACUCUAGUUAUUAUCUUUUGUAUUAUUAAAUAUAUUGUGUUAUUACUUUUAUUACGCUUCUUUCUACAACUUAGUUCUUAGUUGUGACAGGGAUUUCAACCAUACGGGUAUUUUCAAUCAUGAUGUCAUCUAUCGCCAUACCGGUCGUCGUAUUGUCAAUGAUAUACACAGAUACAUGUUCAUUCAACCUUCACUACAGCAAAAUAUAUUACACUAAUUCAAAUCUAGACGCUAAGAACGACAAUAUUAAAUAUACAACAGAUGAGAAAGCGAAAGCGAGAGAUAUGUCAAAUUUGGAUUCUUUAAUAUUUGACCAAAACAAAAAUUCUAAUAGAGGAAAUGCAAGGAUUGAUAAAGAAGGUAUAUCAAAUUAUCUUUACUGGAUACAACGGUUUGAUGAUAACAACAUUAACGCAAAUAAACCUUUGAAUAGUGCUGGAGAACAUAAAAAGACAGCUGACGAAGUAAAAACGAAAACCAAAUUCACGAAACAUAACACAAAACAAAAUUUGAUUGAAGAAGACAAAUCAACACAAGAAAAUACAGACUAUAUUUCAUAUUGGAAGCGCCGAGUUAAAAGAGAUAAUGAUGAUGAUGAAGAAGCUAUAAUGAUUUGGGAUAACUGUCCAGGAACGUUACAGUACGCGAUAAUUGAUGGAGAGCUGAAAUGUGUUAAUCCCAGUGAAAUUAUUGGGGUGUCAGACAGAAUCACAGAGUCUCUAGGAAAAUGCCCUAAAGGUACCAGAAGAAUCAUUUUGCCGGAUCGCACUAAAAUGUGCUUGCAGAAACGAUCAAAAAGAUCAUGAUUUAAUAAUGUAAGGUAAAAUGUGUAACAAGUAAUUGUAUUUAUAUAGUUCGUGUCAUCCACGAUGACGCGCCGAUUUGUCAAAUCUAACCUUAAAUAUCAUAACAAUACAAGUGAAGGCGCGCGUCUUCGUGAAUGACACGAUCUAUAUAUAAUUUAUGGCUUUAAUUUUGUAUUAUGUGAGAAGUUAAAUAUUAUUUACAGUACAUAUGGUGCAACUUUACCGCUCUAGUGCGGUAACUAUCCUACCCUGUCCUAUCUUAAAGGCCGGCAACGCACUUAUAACCACUCUGGUGUUGCAGGUGUCCAAUGGGCGGCGGUAAUCGCUUACCAUCAGGUGAUCCGUCUGCUCGUUUGCCUCCUGAAUGUGUCGAAAAUUGAAAGGGCCACAUGUACUGUAAAACGUUGUACAAUACACGUGCAAAAAGGUUCCUACGUUCCUACUUUUCGCACUUGUAUGUACUAUUUCUGUUCUGGUAAAAUUGUAUUCUGACCUCGGGCAGUGAAUAAGAAUGCCUCAGAUCAUUUUAAGACAUUUUUUAAAUUUUACUGCCCUAGGUAUUAUAUGUAUAAACGGGUAAACAUGAGUCUAUAAAGUUCUAAUAGUUCUAUGUAAGAUAGACGUCACAAUGUCAUUGGAAAACAAUAUGUUUUAAGCAAAAAUUAAAUUUACAGUACAUAUGGGGCUACUUUAUAGCACUAGUGCGAGAAGUAGCAUAUUACGUUACUGUGUCGAACAUUUAAAGGGCCAUAUGUACUGUAAAACGUUGUACGAUACAUGUGCGAAUAGGUAAUUCGCAACUCGUGUCGAUUUAAAACACUCCCUUCGGUCGUGUUUUAAUUUAUCGCCACUCGUUUCGAAUUUCCUAUUUUUCGCACUUGUAUCGUAAUGUACUAUUACAGUACAUAUGGGGCUACUUUAUAGCACUAGUGCGAAAAGUAGCAUAUUACGUUACUGUGUCGAACAUUUAAAGGGCCAUAUGUACUGUAAAACGUUGUACGAUACAUGUGCGAAUAGGUAAUUCGCAACUCGUGUCGAUUUAAAACACUCCCUUCGGUCGUGUUUUAAUUUAUCGCCACUCGUUUCGAAUUUCCUAUUUUUCGCACUUGUAUCGUAAUGUACUAUUUUGGUAAAAACUUUAUCGCUGACUGUACUUUUCUUACUACUAAUACUCAUCGAAACAAUUAGGUUGCGCUGUUUCAUCACAGAGUUCCCAUGGCCACCUUCUGUCUCCAUCAUCAGAUCAGCUCGAUGGUACCAUAAUAUUGCAUUGUAACCCGACUUACGUAUGUAUGCAAAUUUUCAGCUCAAUCGGAAAGUGGGUCAAAUUUAGCUUCCAAGAUUUGACCCACACUAACUAACACACUAACAAACUUUCAUACUAACAGCGGUGGCAGCAUGUUUCCAUUUUUAUCACUUGUCACUAUGCCCGUCACUUUCGCGCUUACAUACUUUGUUAGAACGUGAUAGGCAUGGUGACAAAUGAUAAAGAGCCGACCAUUCACGGGCCGGCCACAACAUCGAGCGGCGGUGGCAGUGGCGAGCGGCGGCCAUAAGUGGGAACGAAAGGUCGGAUCGCUGUGUCUCGCUCCAACCUAUGGUCGCCGCCGCGCGAUGUCGUGGCCGGACCAUUCGCCCUGCAGGGCAAGUUAAAUAAAGGUUUGUAAAAAGAGUCGUUUUAGCGAUAAGACCGCCAGUUGUCUACCAUAGUUUAAUUUGUAUUUCAUAUUGGUGAGCAAUAAAGAAUAUUUGUA